AGAUUGAACGCUGGCGGCAGGCCUAACACAUGCAAGUCGAGCGGUAGAGAGGUGCUUGCACCUCUUGAGAGCGGCGGACGGGCGAGUAAAGCCUAGGAAUCUGCCUGGUAGUGGGGGAUAACGCUCGGAAACGGACGCUAAUACCGCAUACGUCCUACGGGAGAAAGCAGGGGACCUUCGGGCCUUGCGCUAUCAGAUGAGCCUAGGUCGGAUUAGCUAGUUGGUGAGGUAAUGGCUCACCAAGGCGACGAUCCGUAACUGGUCUGAGAGGAUGAUCAGUCACACUGGAACUGAGACACGGUCCAGACUCCUACGGGAGGCAGCAGUGGGGAAUAGUUGGACAAUGGGCGAAAGCCUGAUCCAGCCAUGCCGCGUGUGUGAAGAAGGUCUUACGGAUUGUAAAGCUACUUUAAGUUAGGAGGAAGGCAUUAACCUAAUACGUUAGUGUUUUGACGUUACCGACAGAAUAAGCACGGCUAACUCUGUG
rnacentral:rRNA from 1 species